rnacentral:tRNA from 1 species
CAAGAAGUAGUUUACAGAAAAUGAUAACUUUGGGAGUUAUUGACCGGGCACCCCUGUUUCUUGA